rnacentral:rRNA from 1 species
GUGUAGUAAUACAUUCAGCUGACCAUUACUAAUAAAUUGAUAGGUUUAAAAGAAAU